UACGGGGGGGGCAAGCGUUGUUCGGAAUUACUGGGCGUAAAGGGCUCGUAGGCGGCCAACUAAGUCAGACGUGAAAUCCCUCGGCUUAACCGGGGAACUGCGUCUGAUACUGGAUGGCUGGAGUUUGGGAGAGGGAUGCGGAAUUCCAGGUGUAGCGGUGAAAUGCGUAGAUAUCUGGAGGAACACCGGUGGCGAAGGCGGCAUUCUGGACCAAUACUGACGCUGAGGAGCGAAAGCCAGGGGAGCAAACGGG
rnacentral:rRNA from 1 species